rnacentral:rRNA from 1 species
GACGAACGCUGGCGGCGUGCUUAACACAUGCAAGUCGAACGGAAAGGCCCCCACCUUGGUGGGGGUGCUCGAGUGGCGAACGGGUGAGUAACACGUGGGUGAUCUGCCCUGUACUUCGGGAUAAGCUUGGGAAACUGGGUCUAAUACCGGAUAGGACCAUGGUUUAGUGUCUCAUGGUGGAAAGAUUUUUUGGUGCAGGAUGAGCUCGCGGCCUAUCAGCUUGUUGGUGGGGUAAUGGCCUACCAAGGCGUCGACGGGUAGCCGGCCUGAGAGGGUGGACGGCCACAUUGGGACUGAGAUACGGCCCAGACUCCUACGGGAGGCAGCAGUGGGGAAUAUUGCACAAUGGGCGCAAGCCUGAUGCAGCGACGCCGCGUGGGGGAUGACGGCCUUCGGGUUGUAAACUCCUUUCGUUAGGGACGAAGCCGCACCUUUUUUUGGGUGUGGUGACGGUACCUUUGUUAAGAAGCACCGGCUAACUACGUGCCAGCAGCCGCGGUAAUACGUAGGGUGCGAGCGUUGUCCGGAAUUACUGGGCGUAAAGAGCUCGUAGGUGGUUUGUUGCGUCGUCUGUGAAAUUCCGGGGCUUAACUUCGGGGUGGCAGGCGAUACGGGCAUAACUAGAGUGCUGUAGGGGAGACUGGAAUUCCUGGUGUAGCGGUGGAAUGCGCAGAUAUCAGGAGGAACACCGAUGGCGAAGGCAGGUCUCUGGGCAGUAACUGACGCUGAGGAGCGAAAGCAUGGGGAGCGAACAGGAUUAGAUACCCUGGUAGUCCAUGCUGUAAACGGUGGGCGUUAGGUGUGGGGACCGGUUUGGUUUCUGUGCCGUAGCUAACGCAUUAAGCGCCCCGCCUGGGGAGUACGGCCGCAAGGCUAAAACUCAAAGGAAUUGACGGGGGCCCGCACAAGCGGCGGAGCAUGUGGAUUAAUUCGAUGCAACGCGAAGAACCUUACCUGGGUUUGACAUGCACCAGACGGUUGUAGAGAUACGUACCUCCCUUUGUGGUUGGUGUGCAGGUGGUGCAUGGUUGUCGUCAGCUCGUGUCGUGAGAUGUUGGGUUAAGUCCCGCAACGAGCGCAACCCUUGUCUUAUGUUGCCAGCACUUUGGGUGGGGACUCAUGAGAGACUGCCGGGGUUAACUCGGAGGAAGGUGGGGAUGACGUCAAAUCAUCAUGCCCUUUAUGCCCAGGGCUUCACACAUGCUACAAUGGUUAGUACAACGCGCUGCGAACCUGUGAGGGUGAGCGAAUCGCUGAAAGGUAAUCUCAGUUCGGAUUGGGGUCUGCAACUCGACCCCAUGAAGUCGGAGUCGCUAGUAAUCGCAGAUCAGCAAUGCUGCGGUGAAUACGUUCCCGGGCCU